rnacentral:lncRNA from 1 species
UGUUAGUUGAUUUAGUUAGUCCUGAAAUGGCUACAUACAACUGCCUGCAAGUAAGGAAUGGAUAAGGCAUUAUCUCUUGAUCUGGGUCUCUUAUACUCUGAAGAUGGCUUCGGAAACAUGAAGCUCUGGAAACUUGAUCUGUAUUGAGAGUUGUGCCAUGAAGAAAUUGCAAGGGUGUGGUACAGGUGUGCAGGAAGUAGCGGCGCCUACUAAAUUGCAUACAAGAAGUUGCCCCACUUACCAGCGACAAGGCUCAGGGUGUCCACGGACAUCUCUCUUGCAACACCC